AUAAACAAAUACUAUGGAACCUUUCCAAGUCAUUGGAAUAUAGUAUAAAUUUCUCUAAUUGCCUUUUGAAUUGUCUCAAGUUCAUUUCAUUACAUUUAAGUGCAAGUUUCACAAGAAACCCAAGUACAGAAGAAACAUUUGGUAAUUCUAUGGGGAAGUAUUGCUGUGAAUCCGACGAUGGUGGACUUAGCAUUAACGGACUUCUCGUAUUGAUUUUUCUUGUGGUGAUGCUGAUGUAUGUUUGCAGUUCACCUCCCAGAGGACGACGCGUUGCUUAUGUCUAUCGUUGUUGUUGACUGGUCCUCACAAAUGCAGAGCAAUUCUAUCCACAUUUUGCCAUCAAUUUUUGAGAGCUUUUGAGUAAAAAUAUAAUGUCAUCCAAAUAAUGUUUUGAUAUGAUUGUAACUCUUAAUAUCACUGAAAUUCCCCGUUGAAGAAUGAAUAGGAAUUUUGAUACAAUAUGCAAAUUUUAGAGAAUA